AGAUUGAACGCUGGCGGAAUGCUUUACACAUGCAAGUCGUACGGCAGCACGGGGGCAACCCUGGUGGCGAGUGGCGAACGGGUGAGUAAUACAUCGGAACGUGCCCAGUCGUGGGGGAUAACUACGCGAAAGCGUAGCUAAUACCGCAUACGAUCUACGGAUGAAAGCGGGGGAUCGCAAGACCUCGCGCGAUUGGAGCGGCCGAUGGGCAGAUUAGGUAGUUGGUGGGGUAAAGGCUCACCAAGCCGUCGAUCUGUAGCUGGUCUGAGAGGACGACCAGCCACACUGGGACUGAGACACGGCCCAGACUCCUACGGGAGGCAGCAGUGGGGAAUUUUGGACAAUGGGCGCAAGCCUGAUCCAGCCAUUCCGCGUGCAGGAUGAAGGCCCUCGGGUUGUAAACUGCUUUUUGUACGGAACGAAAAGCCUUCUUCUAAUACAGGAGGUCAUGACGGUACCGUAAGAAUAAGCACCGGCUAACUACGUGCCAGCAGCCGCGUAA
rnacentral:rRNA from 1 species